rnacentral:rRNA from 1 species
CCCUUAGAUGUUCUGGGCUGCACGCGCGCUACACUGAUGCGCUCAACGAGUUUAUGACCUUGCCCGGAAGGGUUGGGUAAUCUUUUCAAAACGCAUCGUGAUGGGGAUAGAUUAUUGCAAUUAUUAAUCUUCAACGAGGAAUUCCUAGUAAGCGCGAGUCAUCAGCUCGUGCUGAUUACGUCCCUGCCCUUUGUACACACCGCCCGUCGCUCCUACCGAUUGAGGGAUCCGGUGAAUAAUUCGGACUGCAGCAAUGUUCAGCUCCUGAAUGUUGCAGCGGAAAGUUUAGUGAACCUUAUCACUUAGAGGAAGGAGAAGUCGUAACA